rnacentral:rRNA from 1 species
GUACCGUGAGGGAAAGUUGAAAAGGACUUUGAAGAGAGAGUUCAAGAGGACGUGAAACCGUUAGAAGCCAAACGGGUGGAACCGCGAAGGUCGAACGAGGGGAUUCAGCCCGUCGGCCGGCAGAGGCGGUGGACGGCUCGCUCGACACGAGCGCGAGGACCGGGCGCGAGGCGUCCCGGCUCCGUCCCCGCCUCCCCCUUGCCGGCGGGCUUAUUUCUCCCUCCAGUAGGUCGCCGCGACCCGUGGCGGGGACCCCGAGGCCGUCCCGGACCGGGAGGCUCCCUGUGUUGGAGCCGACGCCGGGCGCGGUUCUGGCGGCCCCUGCGACGGUCACUGCGGGGAGGGCGCGUGCAGCCCUCCCUCGCGGCGUGCAAGGGAUCGGUGACCCACCCGACCCGUCUUGAAACACGGACCAAGGAGUCCAACAUGUGCGCGAGUCUAAGGGCACACUAAACCCGGAGGCGAAAUGAAAGUGAGCAACGCUCCGUUGCAGGCCGAUCCCCGGCCGUCCGCGCCGACCGGGCCGGGCGGAGGUCCCGCGCGUGCGCGCGCGGGCUUCCGAAUCCCGGGCCGGGCCUCCGCGGCGGCCCUCGCCGUCUUCGGCGGCAAGCAGAGGGCGCAGGCCGAGGACUUGCCGCUCGGCGGCCCGGGGCGACGGGGGCCUCGCGCUCCCGUUCCCCGGCGUCCGCCGGCAAGUACCUGAGAGCGCACCCGUUGGGACCCGAAAGAUGGUGAACUAUGCCUGGCCAGGACGAAGCCAGGGGAAACCCUGGUGGAGGUCCGAAGCAGUUCUGACGUGCAAAUCGAUUGGCAGAGCUGGGUAUAGGGGCGAAAGACUAAUCGAACCAUCUAGUAGCUGGUUCCCUCCGAAGUUUCCCUCAGGAUAGCUGGCAUUCGGAGUCUAAAGUGGAUGAGUUUCAUCCGGUAAAGCCAAUGAUUAGAGGCCUUGGGGGUGCAAUGCCCUCAACCUAUUCUCAAACUUUAAAUGGGUGAGAUGUAGAGCUUGCUUGAUCCAGAUACACUCGAAGCUCUAUGAUUGAAUCAGAAUGUCUAGUGGGCCACUUUUGGUAAGCAGAACUGGCGAUGUGGGAUGAACCAAACGCGCGAGUUAAGGGGCCUAAAGGAAUGCUAAUGUUGACACUACGAAAAGGUGUUGGUUGCUAUAGACAGCAGGGCGGUGGCCAUGGAAGUCGGAAUCCGCUAAGGAGUGUGUAACAACUCACCUGCCGAAGCAACUAGCCCUUAAAAUGGUAUGGCGCUCAAGCAUUCUCCCGAUACUCGGCCGCCGGGGCACUACGGGCCCUGAGAAGGGUCUCGAAGCCCCGGCGAGUAGGAGGGUCGCAGCGGUGAGCGCAUAAGGGACCCGGCGCAGGCCGGCCUGGAGCCGCCGCUGGCGCAUAUCUUGGUGGUAGUAGCAAAUAAUCAAGAGAGAACCUCGUUGACUGAUGUGGGGAAGGGUUCCAUGUCAACAUCAGUUGGACAUGGGUGAGUCAGACCUAAGCCCAAGGAUAAACUUCCUGCGUUCUAGGACUCCCCAAGCGACGACUCGUGGAAGGUCGUUGGGCCGCCCUCGCGGUCGCGGGGGCGGCCUUAUAAAACCGCGUUGCCGGUGCACGCGAACAGAGAGAAAAAGCAGAGGAGGGGACGCAGU